GAUGAACGCUGGCGGCGUGCCUAAUACAUGCAAGUCGAGCGAACAGAUGAGGAGCUUGCUCCUCUGACGUUAGCGGCGGACGGGUGAGUAACACGUGGAUAACCUACCUAUAAGACUGGGAUAACUUCGGGAAACCGGAGCUAAUACCGGAUAAUAUAUUGAACCGCAUGGUUCAAUAGUGAAAGACGGUUUUGCCGUCACUUAUAGAUGGAUCCGCGCCGCAUUAGCUAGUUGGUAAGGUAACGGCUUACCAAGGCAACGAUGCGUAGCCGACCUGAGAGGGUGAUCGGCCACACUGGAACUGAGACACGGUCCAGACCCCUACGGGAGGCAGCAGUAGGGAAUCUUCCGCAAUGGGCGAAAGCCUGACGGAGCAACGCCGCGUGAGUGAUGAAGGUCUUCGGAUCGUAAAACUCUGUUAUUGGGGAAGAACAAAUGUGUAAGUAACUAUGCACGUCUUGACGGUACCUAAUCAGAAAGCCACGGCUAACUACGUG
rnacentral:rRNA from 1 species